CUAUCGGUCUACUUGGUCAGC
rnacentral:miRNA from 1 species